rnacentral:rRNA from 1 species
UACGUAGGAGGCGAGCGUUGUCCGGAUUCAUUGGGCGUAAAGAGCGCGCAGGCGGCUUGGUAAGUCGGAUGUGAAAUCCCGAGGCUCAACCUCGGGUCUGCAUCCGAUACUGCCCGGCUAGAGGUAGGUAGGGGAGAUCGGAAUUCCUGGUGUAGCGGUGAAAUGACGCAGAUAUCAGGAAGAACACCCGUGGCGAAGGCGGUUCUCUGGGACGGUACUGACGCUGAGACGCGAAAGCGUGGGGAGCGAACAGG